ACACACGUACGGGUUAGCACCCGGUUACUCCUAACAGCCGAUCCUGAAAGGGUGCUUAAGGGGAUCAGAAGACCACCACCACCGCCGGCCACCUCCAGGUCCGUGCCGGCGACAUCCUUCGUGUCUGCUACAUCGCCUGCUGAUGCCCUUCCUCCCGACGAUCUUCUCACUGCUGGAGAUGCUAAGGUGGAGCCAGGGGCUAUCCUGUUAAUGGAUCAAGAUAAUCACGGUUAGUAACCACUAUUCUGCUUGAUGGGUGUUCUAAUCAAGAGAUCCAGAUCCUAGUUAUCUUAACUCUAAAGUAUUAUUGUUAACAUUGGUAUCUUGAGCCAGUUUGAUCUCUGUUUAAGAACUCCAAUUAGACUCGGUUUAUGUUAUUUACUAAUCAUGGUCUAAUUCCUUAUGAAUUUGAGUAAUGUUCAUGCAUAAAUCGCUUCCGCUUACAUAAUAAUGAUGAUGACAUCUGGGUUAAGUGCUAAUUGCCCUGACUAAUGUUUGCUAAUUAUGAAAUAGCCGAAAUUAAAUUUUCGCCUAAUAUAUUAGCACUGAUUGUGGCCUCGGUUCAGAAAAGGAUUCAAAUUUUUUUUUAAGAAAAGAUCCCGAGAAAAAAAAAAGCAGUUUUUCCCCAAAUCCCGAGCACUAGAAGCAAAGAAUAAAUCCUCAACGUGUUUGGGCUGGGGGUGCUUACCCGCUCCAGAUUGGAGAUGUUGCCGUGCCGCACACACAUCAUGGACGCCUACGAGCAUGGCCACCACGCCAUGCGCGUCAACGUCAGUACCUCAUGCUGCAGCAGCAUCGUUGAAGGCGUGCCAUCCGCAGCGGCGGACGAGCCGCAGGUUUACGACGCCUAAUGGAUGACGCCGAGUGCCUCGCGUCACCGCCGGCGGGCACUUAUGGCCGACCUGGCACCACUGCUCUCUCCUCCGGCAUCCCGCAAUAAAUGUCGUGUAGCUGCACGGGUGGCCACGCUCGACGGAGCAGCGCGCGGGAUCCCUCCGUUGCACGCUGCUCCGGCGAGCGGAGCCGCCGAAUCGCCAUGGACACCGGGCUCUCGCGCCUUGCUUUGUGCCGCCGCCAGUGGUCGGUCGCGAGCGGAGAAAGCGGGGCAGGAGAGAAGAAUGCGCUAGGGUUUGCCAGCGCGAGUUAGUUUUGUUCCGAAGGGAGCAACUUACAACCGUUAGAUGGGAUCGACGGCUGACGUUGAUGCUCCGCUGCAGUCGGGCUGCGGGUGGCUUAGCGGGCCUAAUCUGGCUGUAGGCUACGACCCAGGUUGUGUUGGCCCAGUAUAAAGUUUUCUUAUGUUAAUGAAUUUAGCUGCUGGAUCGUUUCUUUUAUGGGUUGUCGUUGGUUUUAGGCCGAAAAUAAGUAUUGAGUCGUUUUGUUUAUUUUCAGUGCAUUUGAUGUGUUUCAAGUGGACUAAAAAAAAAAGGGUUGUUUCAAGUUUUCUUUUGAUGGUUUAUGCACUGUUUUAUUAAGAAACAAUAUGCCCAAAAAUGUCUAACAGGCAGUAUUAAUAAUGAUAUUGUUUUUUCUUUCAAGGGCUGCCGUGGGUUCCUAUCAGCCAAAUUAUGUCUUUUAGGAAAUUGGUAUUUUUGGUGCUUUUGAAUCAUCUUGUUAAUAUUAGUAAUAAUUUUUUAUGCACUGUUAAUACGUCUUGAUUGCCUAAAUUAUGCUAAAGAUAAUGUUUGAAUUUUCUGAAUAAAAUGGACCAAUGAGAAAUUUUAUUUCGAAAAUAUUAAUGUGGUAUAAUGUAAAUGCCAUAUAUGGCAUUUUUAAUGAUGGAAUGUUAAUGUCAUAAAAUUGUAUUUAUUGUGAAGAGAUUUCCUAUGAUGAUAACUUUUUUUUUGAAAUUUUAUCUUAUUGUGAAAUUCAUAUUAAGGCCAGUCUUAUGGCAUUUCUUAAUGAUGUGAUCAUUUCUACUGGGCUAAAGCCACCUCAAGGAGAAUGUGAUGGUCGCAUGGUUCAGUUUUUCCGCACUGCACUAUGCGGCAUAAUAAUGUUGCAGCGAUGUGCCUAUUGGGCAAAACUAAAGUUUUUUUUGGUUGGUGCAUUUCAUGCCAUUUUAUUAUGAUAUGCACCAUUGAAAAUAUGCAUAAAGACACAAAAUAUUAUUUAUGGAGUCAUGAUCAAUCCCCUAAGAAUACUAUUAUUAUUUUUGCUUAGGGUAUCUAUUUUCGAAAGUACAUGUUGUCAUUUGUUUGACAACUCUCAUUUGCCAAAUAUUGUUAAUUUCUGAAUCCUUAUGAAUAUUUAUGUCCAAAUUUUCUUAUUUGGAAAAUGGUAUGAUAUCCUGACAAUAAUAUUAAUGUUGUUUUCACUCCGAGUGUCAAGAUUAAUGUUUACUCAGUGGAAAUGAAUUUACAUUUAUAUGUUAAUUCUAAUGUCAUUUUCAUUGUAUGUCAUUGAGAAUUUUAUUGAUAAGUUUAACACUUAUGUUUAAUAUUUAUACUAUCAAUGUCACAUUUAGUGUUAAAAGUCAUCAUUGUGCCUCAUAGCACACAUGAUUAUAUAAUAUUGUUGCUUUAUGCAAAUGUUGGCUAUUAGCCGGUGUUCUUGCUGGUCAUUAUGUGAUUUUAUAUCUCUCUAAUCGAAAUGGAACCAACGAGAAGUUUUGAUUAGCGAUUUUCAAGAAAAUAAUGUAAUGGCAUAUGGUAAUAUUCCGACCAACGUUGAUUAUUUUUCAUGUGUAAUUAAUGAGUAAAUAAGGUUCUUUAUGUUUUUUCCCAACGGGGAUACAUAUUAGAACAACAAUUAAGCAUGUCUUUAGUUCAUCUUAUUAUAUGGUUAAUUCAUGUUGAUGUUUUUUAUUGUGAUGGUGAUAAAGUUGCCUCCACUUUUUCCAGCAAUGAACAUUAAAAAUGAUGCCAUUUUGUUUGACAUAGACGAACCUUAUGCAAAGAACUUUCCCACAUGGAGAGUGGAGAUCAUUGUCUCAUGUAAGGAAUCUCCCAAUGUUUUUCUG
rnacentral:lncRNA from 1 species